GACGAACGCUGGCGGCGUGCUUAAAACAUGCAAGUCGAACGGACUUCUCAUGAAGCUUGCGAUUGAGAAGUUAGUGGCGGACGGGUGAGUAACGCGUGGGCAACCUGCCCCUGAGCCCGGGAUAACAGUUCGAAAGGACUGCUAAGACCGGAUAUACUUGCGGGGAAGCAUUUCACUGCAAGGAAAGGGAACGCUCAGGGAUGGGCCCGCGUCCCAUUAGCUAGUUGGUGAGGUAACGGCCCACCAAGGCGACGAUGGGUAGCCGGCCUGAGAGGGUGAACGGCCACACUGGGACUGAGACACGGCCCAGACUCCUACGGGAGGCAGCAGUUGGGAAUCUUCGGCAAUGGGCGCAAGCCUGACCGAGCAACGCCGCGUGAGUGAUGAAGGUUUUCGGAUUGUAAAGCUCUGUCUUCCGGGACGAUAAUGACGGUACCGGAGGAGGAAGCCACGGCUAACUACGUGCCAGCAGCCGCGGUAAAGUCACGUCG
rnacentral:rRNA from 1 species